rnacentral:rRNA from 1 species
UGCGUAGGUGGUUAUUUAAGUCCGUUGUGAAAGCCCUGGGCUCAACCUGGGGAACUGCAGUGGAUACUGGAUGACUAGAAUGUGGUAGAGGGUAGCGGAAUUCCUGGUGUAGCAGUGAAAUGCGUAGAGAUCAGGAGGAACAUCCAUGGCGAAGGCAGCUACCUGGACCAACAUUGACACUGAGGAGCGAAAGCGUGGGGAGCGAACA